rnacentral:rRNA from 1 species
GAUGAACGCUGGCGGCGUGCCUAAUACAUGCAAGUCGAGCGAACAGAUGAGGAGCUUGCUCCUCUGACGUUAGCGGCGGACGGGUGAGUAACACGUGGAUAACCUACCUAUAAGACUGGGAUAACUUCGGGAAACCGGAGCUAAUACCGGAUAAUAUAUUGAACCGCAUGGUUCAAUAGUGAAAGACGGUUUUGCUGUCACUUAUAGAUGGAUCCGCGCCGCAUUAGCUAGUUGGUAAGGUAACGGCUUACCAAGGCAACGAUGCGUAGCCGACCUGAGAGGGUGAUCGGCCACAGUGGAACUGAGACACGGCCCAGACUCCGACGGGAGGCAGCAGUAGGGAAUCUUCCGCAAUGGGCGAAAGCCUGACGGAGCAACGCCGCGUGAGUGAUGAAGGUCUUCGGAUCGUAAAACUCUGUUAUUAGGGAAGAACAAAUGUGUAAGUAACUAUGCACGUCUUGACGGUACCUAAUCAGAAAGCCACGGCUAACUACG